CCUACGGGGGGCUGCAGUGAGGAAUAUUGGUCAAUGGGCGGGAGCCUGAACCAGCCAAGUCGCGUGAGGGAAGACGGCUUUCGGGUUGUAAACUUCUUUUGUCAGGGACGAAGCAAGUGACGGUACCUGCCGAAUAAGCCACGGCUAACUACGUGCCAGCAGCCGCGGUAAUACGUAGGUGGCAAGCGUUAUCCGGAUUUACUGGGUGUAAAGGGCGUGUAGGCGGGACUGCAAGGCAGAUGUGAAAACCACGGGCUCAACCUGUGGCCUGCAUUUGAAACUGUAGUUCUUGAGUACUGGAGAGGCAGACGGAAUGCCUAGUGUAGCGGUGAAAGGCGUAGAUAUUAGGAGGAACACCAGUGGCGAAGGCGGUCUGCUGGACAGCAACUGACGCUGAGGCGCGAAAGCGUGGGGAGCAAACAGGAUUAGAUACCCGAGUAGUC
rnacentral:rRNA from 1 species